rnacentral:rRNA from 1 species
AGUCGAACGGUAACAGGUCUUCGGAUGCUGACGAGUGGCGAACGGGUGAGUAAUACAUCGGAACGUGCCCGAUCGUGGGGGAUAACGCAGCGAAAGCUGUGCUAAUACCGCAUACGAUCUACGGAUGAAAGCGGGGGAUCGCAAGACCUCGCGCGGACGGAGCGGCCGAUGGCAGAUUAGGUAGUUGGUGAGGUAAAGGCUCACCAAGCCGUCGAUCUGUAGCUGGUCUGAGAGGACGACCAGCCACACUGGGACUGAGACACGGUCCAGACUCCUACGGGAGGCAGCAGUGGGGAAUUUUGGACAAUGGGCGAAAGCCUGAUCCAGCAAUGCCGCGUGAGUGAAGAAGGCCUUCGGGUUGUAAAGCUCUUUUGUCAGGGAAGAAACGGUGAGGGCUAAUAUCUCUUGCUAAUGACGGUACCUGAAGAAUAAGCACCGGCUAACUACGUGCCAGCAGCCGCGGUAAU